rnacentral:misc_RNA from 1 species
AUGCACAGCGAUCCUAUGGUACAAAUGGGAAAAGGACGCAUACACGCGACUAAAACAGAAGCGCAGUAAAUCAUGCAGGGAAGAUAAAAGAAAAGAACAAAAGGAAACCAAGAAUCCCUUCCUCAGUUUCUGCUCUUGUGAAUCACAUCAGACUCACAGUCGCUUAUGUAUCCAAUAUCAAAUCUCCACAUUAUGCGCAUUAUCAUUUUUUUAUCAUUAUAAAAUCCCUCUCUCUUGAAUUUGUCUUGUUUAUUAUGCAACCUUCACUUUUGUGUUGGUUUUGUUCUUUUUUAUCUUAUUCUGUUAUGAGCAAACCAGAGAAGAAUGGGCCAUUGGGCAUGAACUUAGGAGGGUUCUCAGGCUUUGUGCUUGACCCUGCACACUGCAGUCGAUUAAGCAUGGGAGAGAAAAGAGAACUCAUUCGAGAGAUUGCCCAAUGGUCAAAAGAUGCCCCAGAGAUUCUUAGUUCAUUCACCCGCAUGGAGCUUCUUGAAAUUAUCUGUGCCGAGAUGGGUAAAGCUAGAAAAUACUCAGGAUAUACUAAACUUCGAAUUAUAGAGCAUCUUCUAGAUUUGGUUUCACAGAAAUGCAAGACAGGCAAUACAAAUGACACUAUUGCCUCGUCUCCUGCCAAAACUCGGACCAGAUUUAAAAGGAAAAGGAAGAAAGAAUCCCAACUUCAACUAUCAACUGACUUGAAUCUUGUUUCUCAAGAGAGUGACGAAGAAGUUAAAAUCCGCGUCUAUCAGAAUGUUGCUUGGAGAGCUAUUUUAUCUCCAGAUGAUGAUUUUUGCAAGAGAUGCUCUUGCCGUAUCUGUCACUAUUAUGAUGAUAACAAGGAUCUUACUCUAUGGUUAACCUGCGGCUUGGAUUCUCCCGGGGAGAAUUCAUGUGGACUUGCAUGCCAUUUGAUAUGUGCUUUGAAGGAUGAAAGAACUGGAAUUAUGAAGACUGGUUGUCAGGCAAAGUUGGAUGGCAGUUUCUACUGUGUUUCUUGUGGAAAAAUUAAUGGACUAAUGAGAACCUGGCGGAAACAAUUGCUGAUUGCCCAAGAGGCCAGAAGAGUUGAUGUAUUGUGUCUACGAGUCCUUUUGGGUUAUAAGAUUCUCACAGGGACUGAGCAAUAUAAAGAAAUGCAACAGUGCCUGGAAACUGCCUUACAACUGCUGAAGAAUGAGUUGGGACCUCUUGAUCUGGUGUAUGCAAAGAUGGCGCGGGGAAUAGUCAAUAGGCUCUCAUGUGGUGCUGAGGUUCAGAAGCUGUGUGCCUCUACAGUGGAAGCUUUUGAUUUAAUGUUUUCUCACGUGGCAAAGUUAGAACCAGUGUGUAAGAUCCUUUCCUCAACGAAAUACAGAUUUCAAUCUAUUUAUGGAGUACAGGAAUGAAAAUUAACUGACUGUUGGUUACCAAAAUGACAACAUGGGGUCAGUUCUUCAAUUUUAAAAUUAUGAUCUAACGUUCUUUGAUUUUUUCCUGCUAAACUUUAUUUUCUCCAGCUUGUAAGAUUCAAUUUGAAGAAUCCUCCUCAACUUCAGUGGUCAUUGUACUAGAAUAUGUAGAUGAUCUCUCUGAUGACAUCCUAGGUUGCGUGCUGUGGCAUCGUGAGUCUAAAGCCAAGGAUUAUCCUCAAAAACCCACUUUUGUUAUAUUGAAGCCAGAGAAAAGAUGCAAGAUAUGUAAUUUAACUCCUUCUACUGAGUAUUUCUGCAAGGCUUCUUUCUUUGGUAGUGCAGGGAUUCUAAGCGGCGAUUGGGAAGCUAAUUGGAUCACUCCUAAGCUCAAUGGACAUUCUGAUACAGCUUUUGGCGAAUACAGAGACGAACAAAAACCUAUAAUUGCUCAAAUUCAGUCGCAGGUGAAAUCAACCAAUUCCAGAAACAUCAAAUUAAUUGGGGAAGGCUCAACAGGAUCACAAUCAGUAAACUACAUCAAUGGGAACAAGAAGGAAGGAUUAUGCUCACUGCCUCCAUCCUUGGAAGUUGUUUCAUCAGGAAGCCUUGGAUCACUUUCUCCCAAAACACCCUGUAAAUCCAGAGGAAUUCAAGAAGUGUCAGGUUUGGGUUGUAAAAAGCAAACGGAGGAGAGUGCUUAUGAAUAUUCAGUGAGAGUAGUCAAAUGGUUAGAAAGUGAAGGACACAUAGAGGAAGAUUUUAGAGUUAAAUUUCUCACUUGGUUCAGUCUGAAAGCAACAGUGCAAGAGAGAAGGGUGGUCAAUGUUUUUGUGGAUGCUUUAAUUGAUGACCCACCUAGCUUGGCUGGGCAGCUCAUCCAUUCUUUCAUGGACAAGAUUUGCUGUGAGCGGAAAACAGUUCAUCACCACGGAUUCUGCACUACUCUGUGGCAUUAAAUACCAAAAUUAAGUUUUAGUUUGGUUGGAAAAUUUAGGGAAGUAGUUAAAUGUCUAGGAUUUUGUGUUGGAACAAGAGAAAAUGACUAGAGCAAGCUAAAUGUGCAGCUCCUUAGUUUUGAGUUCUAUCUGUCAGUAGUGUUUGAUGAUAAAUUUACAUGCAUAUUCUGCACAACUACACAACAAUAUAUGGUAUUAUCGCCAUGCAGAAAUUCAUGGAAUGCAACAUCUCCAGAAAAUAAACACGUGCUCCUCUUUGUGAUUACAACAGAGAUGCUAGAUAACAAACAGAUUGAAACACCGCUAUUGGUCCAGGCCGGCGGUUCAGGGGUGCUGGACUUGGUACAGGAGGUUCCAGCCGAUUCCGGUUUUGGACUCAAUUUGAUUCAAGAGAUCAAAAUGGUUCUUGUUCUAGUUAAUUAGCCCGCUGGUUCUGCUUGGUUCGAACAAGCGACAUUUAUUUAUUUUAAAAAAUUCAAUAUAAAAUUUUUAUUUCUCUUUUGAAAUUGGUUGUAAAAAUAAAUAAUUGUAAAAACUGCA